rnacentral:rRNA from 1 species
GACGAACGCUGGCGGCGUGCCUAAUACAUGCAAGUCGAGCGAAUGGACUAAGAGCUUGCUCUUAUGAAGUUAGCGGCGGACGGGUGAGUAACACGUGGGUAACCUGCCCAUAAGACUGGGAUAAAUCCGGGAAACCGGGGCUAAUACCGGAUAACAUUUUGAACCGCAUGGUUCGAAAUUGAAAGGCGGCUUCGGCCGUCACUUAUGGAUGGACCCGCGUCGCAUUAGCUAGUUGGUGAGGUAACGGCUCACCAAGGCAACGAUGCGUAGCCGGCCUGAGAGGGUGAUCGGCCACACUGGGACUGAGACACGGCCCAGACUCCUGCGGGAGGCAGCAGUAGGGAAUCUUCCGCAAUGGACGAAAGUCUGACGGAGCAACGCCGCGUGAGUGAUGAAGGCUUUCGGGUCGUAAAACUCUGUUGUUAGGGAAGAACAAGUGCUAGUUGAAUAAGCUGGCACCUUGACGGUACCUAACCAGAAAGCCACGGCUAACUACGUGCCAGCCGCCGCUGUAA